ACAAUGUCUUCCAAAAAGAGGAUUAAAGAAAAUGUAUAUUUUUGUCCUUUCUAAUUUGACAAUUGUCUCUUGGCAGUGCUUUGUGCAUAGUCAGAUUUAGUUUUCAGGACAAAGUCAGUUUCUUGAUCUCCUCAUUUAUGUACUGGUCUUUCAGAAAGCAACACAUGAGGAUUUUAAAAUGUGAUUGUAAACCCAGAGAAAUUGUCAAGAGGACUCAGCAAGAGAGUGUGAGGAAAAGCUUGUGACGCCACAUAGAAAAGGACUUUCACAAAGACACUUAUUACAACCUGUAGUGGUACAGUUCCAAGUCAACAAGAGAGCUGACAUCAAGGCCUCUCACAGACUUCCCAUUUAAUGAAUAUAUUCGCAGGAGACAGAUUCUAGAGAAGAUUUUAUUUUCUUCUUUCUUUUCCCAAAUACCAAAAUAACAGUAGUAGACAUGAAUAACUGUAAAUCCUAAAACCCAAAAAACACUACAAUGUGUGAAGUGUACUGGCAUGGUAAAACAUUUUUCUGCCCACCAGAAGAGGUGGUUGAGAAGAACUUAAGAUCUGGACCUCCUUUUCUCUGAAGACGAGUUGCAGCCAUGAUGAAAAUGAACUGUACAAUAAGUAAGAACAAGCACAGGCUAAUGAUGUUCUUAGCACAAGAAUUAGAGUGAUCAUCAAGGGACAGUUUGUAGGUCUGGCUUUAUAAAGCCCAAUCUCCAAAACACACCUGGCAACUAAGCACCACAAGGCUGCUUCCUCAGUCACCUGUAUAUACUGCAGUAAACAAAUCUGGCAAUUGAAUGUUGAAGUGACCCUCUUUGGUCAGCUGGGGCCAGUUGUCCUGGCUGUGUCCUCUCCCAAUUUCUUGUGCACUCCCUGCCUACUCACUGGUGGGACAGUGUAAGGAGCAGAAAAGGUCUUGUGAGACCACUGCACCAAACCAAGUUUACUACUGGAAUAAGG
ensembl:lncRNA